AUUGAACGCUGGCGGCAGGCCUAACACAUGCAAGUCGCGCGAGCGGCGGACGGGUGAGUCAUGUAUGGGGACUGCCCGAUAGAGGGGUCUAACUACUGUAAACGGUGGCUAAUACCGCAUACUAUCGGAUAACCCAUAUGGGAUUAGCUAGUAGGUGGGGUAAAGGCUCACCUAGGCGACGAGCUCUAGCUGGUAUGAGAGGAUGAUAAGCCACACUGGGACGGAGACACGGCCCAGACUCAUACGGAGGAAGCAGUGGGGAAUAUUGCAAAAUGGGCGAAAGCCUGAUGCAGCCAUGCCGAGGGUAUGAAGAAGGCCUUAGGGUUGUAAAGUACUGUCAGCGGGGAGGCGUUACCCGCAGAAGAAGCACCGGCUAACUCCGUGCCAGCAGCCGCGGUAAUAC
rnacentral:rRNA from 1 species